rnacentral:ncRNA from 21 species
GGUCGGGUAGCGUGCAAUACAUACAAUACCGAAAGGGAAAAUUGCAGGCCGUCUCGUAGCGGUGUUCAAGUGCCCGACCGCCCUCUG